rnacentral:rRNA from 1 species
CCUACGGGAGGCAGCAGUGGGAAUAUUGGGCAAUGGAGGGAAACUCUGACCCAGCGACGCCGCGUGCGGGAUGAAGGCCUUCGGGUUGUAAACCGCUUUCAGCAGGGAAGAAGCGAAAGUGACGGUACCUGCAGAAGAAGCACCGGCUAACUAUGUGCCAGCAGCCGCGGUAAUACAUAGGGUGCAAGCGUUGUCCGGAAUUAUUGGGCGUAAAGAGCUCGUAGGUGGUUCGUCACGUCGGAUGUGAAAAUCUGGGGCUUAACCCACACG